GACGAACGCUGGCGGCGUGCCUAAUACAUGCAAGUUGAGCGAUGAAGAUUGGUGCUUGCACCAAUUUGAAGAGCAGCGAACGGGUGAGUAACGCGUGGGGAAUCUGCCUUUGAGCGGGGGACAACAUUUGGAAACGAAUGCUAAUACCGCAUAAUAACUUUAAACAUAAGCUUUAAGUUUGAAAGAUGCAAUUGCAUCACUCAAAGAUGAUCCCGCGUUGUAUUAGCUAGUUGGUGAGGUAAAGGCUCACCAAGGCGAUGAUACAUAGCCGACCUGAGAGGGUGAUCGGCCACAUUGGGACUGAGACACGGCCCAAACUCCUACGGGAGGCAGCAGUAGGGAAUCUUCGGCAAUGGACGAAAGUCUGACCGAGCAACGCCGCGUGAGUGAAGAAGGUUUUCGGAUCGUAAAACUCUGUUGGUAGAGAAGAACGUUGGUGAGAGUGGAAAGCUCAUCAAGUGACGGUAACUACCCAGAAAGGGACGGCUAACUACGU
rnacentral:rRNA from 1 species